CCUACGGGGGGCAGCAGUGGGGAAUAUUGGACAAUGGGCGCAAGCCUGAUCCAGCCAUGCCGCGUGCAGGAAGAAGCAUCUAUGGUGUGUAAACUGCUUUUGUACGGGAAGAAACAUCACUACGUGUAGUGACUUGACGGUACCGUAAGAAUAAGGAUCGGCUAACUCCGUGCCAGCAGCCGCGGUAAUACGGAGGAUCCAAGCGUUAUCCGGAAUCAUUGGGUUUAAAGGGUCCGUAGGCGGUUUAAUAAGUCAGUGGUGAAAUCUGGUCGCUCAACGAUCAAACGGCCAUUGAUACUGUUAGACUUGAAUUACAAGGAAGUAACUAGAAUAUGUAGUGUAGCGGUGAAAUGCUUAGAUAUUACAUGGAAUACCAAUUGCGAAGGCAGGUUACUACUUGUGGAUUGACGCUGAUGGACGAAAGCGUGGGGAGCGAACAGGAUUAGAUACCCUAGUAGUC
rnacentral:rRNA from 1 species